rnacentral:rRNA from 1 species
AAGUCGUAACAAGGUUUCCGUAGGUGAACCUGCGGAAGGAUCAUUACCGAAUUGUCAAACAUGGGUUGUUGCUGGCCUCCAAACGGGGCAUGUGCACGCUCUGUUUACACAUCCACUCACACCUGUGCACCCUCUGUAGUCCUAUGGUUCGGAAGACCCCGUCUUCCUUCUGUAGCUCUACGUCUUUACACACACACUGUAGCGAUGUCUCAUGGAAUGUUUUUAUGCGUUUAACGCGAUACAAUACAACUUUCAGCAACGGAUCUCUUGGCACUCGCAUCGAUGAAGAACGCAGCGAAAUGCGAUAAGUAAUGUGAAUUGCAGAAUUCAGUGAAUCAUCGAAUCUUUGAACGCACCUUGCGCCCCUUGGUUAUUCCUUGGAGCAUGCCUGUUUGAGUAUCAUGAACACCUCAACUCUCAUGGUCUUCCAUGAUGAGCUUGGACUUUGGGGGUUUGCUGGCCCUGCGGCCGGCUCCUCUCAAACGGAUCAGCUUGCCAGUGUUUGGUGGCAUCACGGGUGUGAUAACUAUCUACUCUCGUGGUCGUCUGCCAGGUAACCCUCAGCGAUGAGGGUUCAUUGGAGCUCAUAAACGUCUCUCCUCGGCGAGGACAACUUUUGAACGUUCGAUCUCAAAUCAGGUAGGAUUACCCGCUGAACUUAA